rnacentral:tRNA from 1 species
GUAAGUAUAGCUCAGUGGUACAGUGCAUGCUUAGCAUUCACGAGGUCCUGGGUUCAAUCCCCAGUAAUGCCA